UACGUAGGGCGCGAGCGUUGUCCGGAAUUAUUGGGCGUAAAGAGCUCGUAGGCGGCUUGUCACGUCGGGUGUGAAAGUCCGGGGCUUAACUCCGGUUCUGCAUUCGAUACGGGCUAGCUAGAGUGUGGUAGGGGAGAUCGGAAUUCCUGGUGUAGCGGUGAAAUGCGCAGAUAUCAGGAGGAACACCGGUGGCGAAGGCGGAUCUCUGGGCCGUUACUGACGCUGAGGAGCGAAAGCGUGGGGAGCGAACAGG
rnacentral:rRNA from 1 species